rnacentral:rRNA from 1 species
UGGGGAAUAUUGGACAAUGGGCGAAAGCCUGAUCCAGCCAUGCCGCGUGUGUGAAGAAGGUCUUCGGAUUGUAAAGCACUUUAAGUUGGGAGGAAGGGCAGUAAGCGAAUACCUUGCUGUUUUGACGUUACCGACAGAAUAAGCACCGGCUAACUCUGUGCCAGCAGCCGCGGUAAUACAGAGGGUGCAAGCGUUAAUCGGAAUUACUGGGCGUAAAGCGCGCGUAGGUGGUUCGUUAAGUUGAAUGUGAAAGCCCCGGGCUCAACCUGGGAACUGCAUCCAAAACUGGCGAGCUAGAGUAGGGCAGAGGGUGGUGGAAUUUCCUGUGUAGCGGUGAAAUGCGUAGAUAUAGGAAGGAACACCAGUGGCGAAGGCGACCACCUGGGCUCAUACUGACACUGAGGUGCGAAAGCGUGGGGAGGAAACAGG